CUUGAGCUCUGCUUUUGCAGGAAUUCACGCGAAGACAGUCACACAGUAGAAUAAGUGGCAAAACUGGUACUUGAACUGACAUGUGCCCAGGAGAACCCCAGGAUCACUGCGUGGGGGAGGGGAAGAAGAGAAGGAAAGGAUCAUGCUUCUGGAAGGACGAGGAGCCAGAACAACUGAUGGGCUCUGGUGGUCACCCUCCAAGCAGAAGAGAGACACCUGACCCGCCAGUGUCUUGUCAGAUGAUGGAUGAGCCACGUCUGCGGAAGACAGCUGAUUAAAGGCUUGGGGAAUAUGCCAGGAAAGGUAGUUGCUCCCGGGGAAAGAAGGAUCCACGUGAUACAGAGACAGCUGUCUCUGAAGCCUUCUGGUGCCAAGACCCUCUGCAG